UACGGAAGGGGCAAGCGUUGUUCGGAAUCAUUGGGCGUAAAGGGCGCGUAGGUGGUUCUGUAUGUCUACCGUGAAAGCGUACGGCUCAACCGUAUUUUGUCGGUGGAAACUGCAGGACUUGAGGCUGGGAGGGGCUGGUGGAAUUCCCUGUGUAGCGGUGAAAUGCGUAGAGAUGGGGGAGAACACUAGUGGCGAAGGCGGCCAGCUAGACCAGUUCUGACACUGAGGCGCGACAGCGUGGGGAGCAAACAGG
rnacentral:rRNA from 1 species